UCCCUGGUGGCUCAGCGGUAAUGCGUCUGCCUGCAAUGCGGGAGACCCGGGUUCAAUUCCUGGAUCGGGAA
rnacentral:tRNA from 1 species